GCCCACCGCCAUAUUUACUAACCGGAAGAUGUACUAUUUCACUACAUCGCUAGAUGUCGCUGUUCAUGUUGCUCUUGGAAGCCCCCGGAUGUACUAGAGGGCAUGUAUGGGGGUGAUAGUGAUUACGGAUUACGCAAAAUUUUCGCCACCGAUUACGAAUUAAGUAAAAUUCUCAGAGCUAUUAAAACUUUAUGCAUUAAGGCUAAUAUAAUAUUACGAAUUUCAUUGAUUUGGAGGGCGACUGCCAACGGAUUACGAAGACUUAAAUGGUCCGAUUACGCCUCAGGAAAAAGGGUAUGCAGGCUUCUACAACGAGCAUUCCAGCUCUCAGAUGUGUCUUUGGCAUUUGGAUACCACAAAGCAAUCAACCUAUGCCACCAUUCACUCAAUACCAGCCUGUGCCACCGUGCACUCAAUACCAGCCUGUGCCACCGUGCACUCAAUACUAAUGUGCCAUUGUGCAGAACUUGCAGAUUGUAUACUGGAUGAGUCCAUGUCUCACGAGUGAAUUAUUAAAACCAGAAACUGUAUCUUGCCCUGAAACCAAAUAUUCAAUAAACAAUCUGAACACAUA